rnacentral:rRNA from 1 species
CGAGGAAUAUUGCACAAUGGAGGAAACUCUGAUGCAGUAACGCCGCGUGGGGGAAGAAGACCUUCGGGUUGUAAACCUCUUUUUGUAAAGACGAGUGAGGACGGUAUUUGCAGAAUCAGUCUCGGCUAACUACGUGCCAGCAGCCGCGGUAAGACGUAGGAGGCGAGCGUUAUCCGGAUUCACUGGGCGUAAAGCGCAUGUAGGCGGAUGUCUAAGUCGUGUGUUAAAGCCCCUGGCUCAACUGGGGGAGGUCAUGCGAGACUGGAUGACUUGAGGGCAACAGAGGCACGUGGAACUCCCGGUGUAGCGGUGGAAUGCGUAGAGAUCGGGAAGAACACCCGUGGCGAAGGCGGCGUGCUGGGUUGCAACUGACGCUGAGAUGCGAAAGUGUGGGGAGCAAACGGGAUUAGAUACCCCCGUAGUCC